ACUCCUACGGGAGGCAGCAGUGGGAAUAUUGCGCAAUGGGGCAAGCCCAUCGACGCAGCCAUGCCGCGCUGUGUGAAGAAGGCCCAAUAGGGCUUGGUUAAAGACACUUUUCAGAAGCGAGGAAAAAGCUUGUCAUUAAUACUGGCAAGCCCUGACGUUAACUUUAGAAGAAGCACCGGCUAACUCCGUGCCAGCAGCCGCGGUAAUACGGAGGGUGCGAGCGUUAAUCGGAAUUACUGGGCGUAAAGCGCGCGUAGGCGGUUGAUUAAGUCAGCUGUGAAAGCCCGGCUAG
rnacentral:rRNA from 1 species